rnacentral:rRNA from 1 species
AGCAGUAGCCGCGGUAAUACGUAGGUGCCAAGCGUUGUCCGGAACUAUUGGGCGUAAAGGGCUCGCAGGCGGUUUCUUAAGUCUGAUGUGAAAGCCCCCGGCUCAACCGGGGAGGGUCAUUGGAAACUGGGAAACUUGAGUGCAGAAGAGGAGAGUGGAAUUCCACGUGUAGCGGUGAAAUGCGUAGAGAUGUGGAGGAACACCAGUGGCGAAGGCGACUCUCUGGUCUGUAACUGACGCUGAGGAGCGAAAGCGUGGGGAGCGAACAGGAUUAGAUACCCCUGUAGUCCCUGUCUCUUAUAC